CUGCUUCUGGACAGCAAGCGAUUGGAUUAGGAACCUGAAGAUGGCGCUCUCAUGCUUGGGACCCUUUGGCCAGAUCUUCCGCCUAGGGCCAAGGGAUACUACACCGGCCUUGACGUCUUCCGCAAGGAGGCCCAGAAUUGUGUCUGCCUCCAGGGUGAUGGUCCUGGUUCGUGAAGGACUCAAUCAUAGCAUGCCAAGUUGAGGAUGUGAACGCUUUGGAGGCAGCCGCUGUGACAAAGGAUAAAAAGAUGCCUGAAGAAUGAAGAUAGUGCAGCACCGUUUCAGUUGAUAUGGUCUGCAUGUUUUGCUGCCUGUGUAUAACUGUUAUUGAUUUUUGUUCUAAACGUGUUGCUGUAAACUCUUUUGAAUUUGUGUUGUGAGUCUGUAACUACCUCUGUUCUGAUUUUUUUUGGAAUGAAUCAUUUCUGGAAUCAAUUUGA